ACCUUUAAAGUAUGUAUUCAUACAUUUGACUUCCAAUCAAAAGAUACCAAUAAAUAUC
rnacentral:tRNA from 1 species